rnacentral:rRNA from 1 species
CAUACUGGCGCAUGUUGGUGUGUGGAAACUUUUUGGGUAGGGGAUGUGCUCGCGGCCUAUCAGCUUGAUGGUGGGGUAAUGGCCUACCAUGGCUUCGACGGGUAGCCGGCCUGAGAGGGUGACCGGUCACACUGGGACUGAGACACGGCCCAGACUCCUACGGGAGGCAGCAGUGGGGAAUAUUGGACAAUGGGCAGAAGCCUGAUCCAGCAACGCCGCGUGAGGGAUGACGGCCUUCGGGUUGUAAACCUCUUUCAUCACAGACGAAGCCUUUGGGUGACGGUAUGUGGAGAAGAAGCACCGGCCAACUACGUGCCAGCAGCCGCGGUAAUACGUAGGGUGCGAACCGUUGUCCGGAAUUAUUUGGGCGUAAAGGGCUCGUAGGCCGGUUUGUCCGCGUCGGG